rnacentral:rRNA from 1 species
GACGAACGCUGGCGGCGUGCUUAACACAUGCAAGUCGAGCGAAGUGUUCAAGACAGAUUUCUUCGGAUUGAAGUCUUGAAUAUCUUAGCGGCGAACGGGUGAGUAACGCGUGAGAAACCUGCCUUUCACAAAGGGAUAGCCUCGGGAAACUGGGAUUAAUACCUUAUGAUACUUCAAAUUCGCAUGAAAUUGAAGUUAAAGCGUAAAGCGGUGAAAGAUGGUCUCGCGUCCCAUUAGUUAGUUGGUGAGGUAACGGCUCACCAAGACCGCGAUGGGUAGCCGGCCUGAGAGGACGACCAGCCACACUGGGACUGAGACACGGCCCAGACUCCUACGGGAGGCAGCAGUGGGGAAUUUUGGACAAUGGGCGAAAGCCUGAUCCAGCAAUGCCGCGUGCAGGAAGAAGGCCUUCGGUUGUAACGUAGCUUUGUUCUAGGGAAGGAAAGUACUUCUUGGGUCGUAAUACCCCGGGACGGGAAGUGACGGUACCGUCGAAGAAUAAAGACACCGGCCGUAACUAACGU